GAUGAACGCUGGCAGCGUGCCUAAUACAUGCAAGUCGAGCGAACAGACGAGGAGCUUGCUCCUCUGACGUUAGCGGCGGACGGGUGAGUAACACGUGGAUAACCUACCUAUAAGACUGGGAUAACUUCGGGAAACCGGAGCUAAUACCGGAUAAUAUAUUGAACCGCAUGGUUCAAUAGUGAAAGACGGUUUUGCUGUCACUUAUAGAUGGAUCCGCGCCGCAUUAGCUAGUUGGUAAGGUAACGGCUUACCAAGGCAACGAUGCGUAGCCGACCUGAGAGGGUGAUCGGCCACACUGGAACUGAGACACGGUCCAGACUCCUACGGGAGGCAGCAGUAGGGAAUCUUCCGAAAUGGGCGAAAGCCUGACGGAGCAACGCCGCGUGAGUGAUGAAGGUCUUCGGAUCGUAAAACUCUGUUAUUAGGGAAGAACAAAUGUGUAAGUAACUAUGCACGUCUUGACGGUACCUAAUCAGAAAGCCACGGCUAACUACGUG
rnacentral:rRNA from 1 species